rnacentral:rRNA from 1 species
UACAGAGGUCUCAAGCGUUGUUCGGAUUCAUUGGGCGUAAAAGGGGCGCGUAGGCUGCGGGGUAAGUCGGGUGUGAAAUCUCAGGGCUCAACCCUGAAAACUGCACUCGAUACUGCUCUGCUUGAGGACUGGAGAGGAGACUGGAAUUCACGGUGUAGCAGUGAAAUGCGUAGAUAUCGUGAGGAAGACCAGUGGCGAAGGCGGGUCUCUGGACAGUUCCUGACGCUGAGGCGCGAAGGCCAGGGGGAGCAAAACGGGGAUUAGAA